UACGGAGGAUCCAAGCGUUAUCCGGAUUUAUUGGGUUUAAAGGGUGCGUAGGCGGAUUGAUAAGUUAGAGGUGAAAUGUCCGAGCUCAACUCGGGAACUGCCUCUAAUACUGUUGAUCUAGAGAGUAGAUGCGGUAGGCGGAAUGUAUGGUGUAGCGGUGAAAUGCAUAGAUAUCACGCAGAACUCCGAUUGCGAAGGCAGCAUACCGGCGCCCAACUGACGCUGAAGCACGAAAGCGUGGGUAUCGAACAGG
rnacentral:rRNA from 1 species